GUUAAAACGAAUGGAACAACGAAGGACACUAAAUUGAUAUGUUUGAUGCUAAUCAAUAAGAAAUGGAUAUGGAGGAUGGAAAUGGAAAUAAAGACUUCAAAUAAUGAAACAAAAGAAAAGAGAUGAAACACAAAGGAUAUAACUUGAUUUAGAGCCUAAGCUCUGAUACCAAACUGAUAUGAACUAGGGGUAUAUUAAACUCGAGACCCAAUAUCUUUGCACUUAGAAGCAACCCCUUGGAAAGCUAAAUCAGAUUUACCAAGUCCUUGACCCAAUUCAAUUCGUGAAAGAGAACUUUAAAAUAAAUUCGUAACCCAAAUUUAACAUUUAAAGAUAACCUUGGAAUAAACUACUCACAAAGUAAUUAGCUUUGCUCGUAGGAACCCUGAUUCAAACAAGAAUCAGAAUAAGAGAAAAACCUCUCUUAAGAAACC
rnacentral:lncRNA from 1 species